GUCAUGAGUGCCUUCUGCGGACCGGUAGCAUCACCACCACCAGUGACGGCAGUUGAGGAAACCGGUGAAAGUCCGGUGCGGUCGCGCCACUGUGAGUGUUGCUCGAGCGGGACGUGUUUCCGCUCGGAAACACGAGUCAGACCCUCAACCGCCGUCGAUGACAGAUC
rfam:Rhodococcus erythropolis PR4 DNA, complete genome.